rnacentral:rRNA from 1 species
AAACCAACUGGGAUUACCUUAGUAACGGCGAGUGAAGCGGUAAAAGCUCAAAUUUGAAAUCUGGUACUUUCAGUGCCCGAGUUGUAAUUUGUAGAAUUUGUCUUUGAUUAGGUCCUUGUCUAUGUUCCUUGGAACAGGACGUCAUAGAGGGUGAGAAUCCCGUUUGGCGAGGAUACCUUUUCUCUGUAAGACUUUUUCGAAGAGUCGAGUUGUUUGGGAAUGCAGCUCAAAGUGGGUGGUAAAUUCCAUCUAAAGCUAAAUAUUGGCGAGAGACCGAUAGCGAACAAGUACAGUGAUGGAAAGAUGAAAAGAACUUUGAAAAGAGAGUGAAAAAGUACGUGAAAUUGUUGAAAGGGAAGGGCAUUUGAUCAGACAUGGUGUUUUUUGCAUGCACUCGCCUCUCGUGGGCUUGGGCCUCUCAAAAAUUUCACUGGGCCAACAUCAAUUCUGGCAGCAGGAUAAAUCAUUAAGAACGUAGCUACCUCGGUAGUGUUAUAGCUUUUUGGAAUACUGCUAGCUGGGAUUGAGGACUGCGCUUCGGCAAGGAUGUUGGCAUAAUGGUUAAAUGCCGC